GAGGGCGCAUAUUCCGUGAGUGGUCUUGGAGAACGAUGACCGGCAAUUCAACAAAGCGGUAUAGUAAAUUCACGAACUUCUUUUCUCACAUUGGAUGUAGUGUGUGUGUGUUGGCUGUGGUGUCCGUGUAACCGCACUGAAAAUGUUUGGGAGCCAGAAGGGGAGCCUGUUGUGUGUGUGGGGGAUGAUUACGACGAUGAUUUGCCUUUUUUUCUUUCCCACUAUAGUAAACCAAAAGGCUACUUUACUUGCCUAACAAAAGUAAAUCAAACAAGCAAACGAUAAAGUUAGAAAAGAGCCAAACUAAAAAAAGGGGAAAAAAUACGGGAACAACUCGGUGGUGACUGACAGUCAAAUGGCCAAACUCCCGAGGAUAGAAAAAAAAAAAUGAAAACGAUUGCCACAAAAGUCUAAAUGACGUAACGCCAGCUGUUGUGCGAUGGCAAUCGCACUACGUCGACGUAGACAGCAACAGCGUGUUGAUUCAGAUGGGAAGGUCAUUUGCUUGUUGUGCCUUGCUAUAUUAUCAAGUGCCUGUCUUCAAUCUGGAUUCGUCUGCUAUUGGGGAGCCGAUUUUGACGAUGGGGCCUAAUCGCUUUCACUUGAUGGCGAAUAUAUAAGACGGGAUUGAAAAAACAACUAAAUCUAGUCUACUACUUUGAGAUCUUUCCGCCGGAUCAUCAAGACAUGACCGAUGAGAGCGGCGAUCACGAUCAUCCAUGACGUCGACGACAGCCGUCUGGCACAACUCGAUCGAUGCACUGCCGCCUGUUCGUGACCUAUUCAUACGAAACACAAAUAAAAAUAAAUUGUCAUCAAC